UACAGCUGAAGUAGAAAACUGUACUCAUCAUGGAGUCGAUAAGCAUCACAAACGAGUACAAUAGUACCAAAAGAGGCCCUUCCCAUAAUCUUGAAGAUCCAUCUCCAUAGCUUAUUGUCUUCACCCUAUGCUCAAACAAACCCUCCACAAUCGCCAUCCCAAUAGUCGAUCCAAGAAAUAUUAGAAGUCCAACUUGUGUCUGCCCC
rnacentral:lncRNA from 1 species